rnacentral:lncRNA from 1 species
UUGGGUUCGCUAAAAAAACACUAAAAUUAGCGUGCACUAAGAUUUAGCGUGCAAAGUAAAAUUUACCGGUGAAUCAAAACUCCCCUGCGAUCAGUGUUUGGCAGAAGAACAACCUGUCGUAGAAGAACAGCCUGUCCUCAUUUUGAUUUCACCUAAAAUUCAGAACAGAGCACCAUCAAGAAAUCGGAUCAGAACCACAGCACUGACACACAAUUCAUCAAAAAUACCCCAACACAAAGUGACAAAACCACCAAAAAAUUGGAUCAAAUCAACAAAAUUGAAACUGUUACAAACAAUCAGAGCAAAGAAGGAUAGGGAUCCCGUUGUUGCCGUCGCCGUUGGACCCCGUCCGCUGCCGUCGCUGGACCCCAACCCCAACGCCGCCGCCAUGCUGCUUCCGCAGGAUCUGGCCGCCGCCGCAAUUGGAUCCCCAGCAACCUGCAGCCCCAUCAUUCCUCGGAGUCGGAUCCUGCUGGUGGGUCGCAGCCGGCUGGAUCCCACCUCCGCUGGAUCCCAUCGUCGAAGUCACCGCCGCGGCACCUCAACAUGCCGGCGUCGCCGCCGCCCAACCUGUUCCGUCGCCUCUCUUGGUCUCUCCGAUCUAUGUGUUUCCCUAGGUAAGUUUAUUCGGGCCUCCGGAGGUCCGUGUUUCUUUCCGGUUGUAAUGGGGCAAAAACAGGUGUAAAAGAAUCCUAAAACGGCCAUCCAAGUGGGUUUUGGGGUUGGACCGGAAAACAAAUGGGGUCUGUAAAAUACAC